rnacentral:rRNA from 1 species
CCCGGUGACUUAUAUGUUAAACGGCCGCGGUACCCUAACCGUGCAAAGGUAGCAUAAUCAUUUGCCUUUUAAUUGGAGGCUUGUAUGAAUGGUUUGACGAGAGCUAAGCUGUCUCUUUUUUAAUAUUUAAAAAUUAACUUUUAGGUGAAGAGGCCUAAAUUUAUUUGAGGGACGAGAAGACCCUGUUGAGCUUUAAUGUUGUAAUAAAAUUUUAGAUUAUUGGCGGCUUUAGUUGCUUUUCAUGUAAAUAUUAUUUAUUUAGGUAAAAUAUUUUUUUAUUGUUAAUUUUUAGUUGGGGCGACUGAGGAACAGGUAAAGCUUCCUUUAUGAUAAUUAUUAUAUAUUAAGGGAUUAAUAAUGUUGAUGGAUUAUAGGGAUCCAGUAUUUACUGAUCAAAGGAAGAAGUUACCACAGGGAUAACAGCGUAAUCUUUCUGGAGAGAUCUUAUCGAAAGGAGGGUUUGCGACCUCGAUGUUGGACUAAGAUAUCCUAAGGGUGUAGAAGCUCUUGAUGGUUGGUCUGUUCGACCAUUAAAAUCUUACGUGAUCUGAGU